ACAACGCUGGCGGCGUGCUUAACACAUGCAAGUCGAACGGAAAGGCCCUGCUUUUGUGGGGUGCUCGAGUGGCGAACGGGUGAGUAACACGUGAGUAACCUGCCCUUGACUUUGGGGAUAACUUCAGGAAAACUGGGGCUAAUACCGGAUAGGAGCUCCUGCUGCAUGGUGGGGGUUGGAAAGUUUCGGCGGUUGGGGAUGGACUCGCGGCUUAUCAGCUUGUUGGUGGGGUAGUGGCUUACCAAGGCUUUGACGGGUAGCCGGCCUGAGAGGGUGACCGGCCACAUUGGGACUGAGAUACGGCCCAGACUCCUACGGGAGGCAGCAGUGGGGAAUAUUGCACAAUGGGCGGAAGCCUGAUGCAGCAACGCCGCGUGCGGGAUGACGGCCUUCGGGUUGUAAACCGCUUUCGCCUGUGACGAAGCGUGAGUGACGGUAAUGGGUAAAGAAGCACCGGCUAACUACGUG
rnacentral:rRNA from 1 species